GUCUUGAAGAUGGUGGUUAACAGUGAAUGAGGUAUCACCUGGAUUAUAAUAAAUGAACAAUAUUUAUUUCAGUUACUUGAUACUCAGAUGAUAACCAUAAGCAUCCAAUGUAUUAUCAACACACAGCAAUAACAGCUUAACAAGAACCUACAUAUAUUGCAAGUACUUUUUGUGUGUGUACGGUUAACUGUGAUGAAGAUUAGAAGAACUUUAAGAAGAGAUACAUUUAUUCUUGCUACUCUACUUGGUGUAUGUAGCAGUAUUUACAUUUGGGCACCAUUAUUGCAAGAAUUAAAGAUUCGAAGUGAAAAACAAAAACAGUCUAUUAUAGAAAAUGUCAACGAUGAUACCUGGGAAAGUGAUUAAAUAUGGAAUCGGGUUUAUAGGAAUAUAUUUUACUAUUGUAGGAAUCAAAGUAAAAUUAAUACCGUAUAUAAAUGACAAGAAACGAAAAGAAGCUGAAGAAUUUGCUAAUAUAAUAUAUAGGAGUGAAUCUGAAUAAUACAUUGUUGUAUUACUAUACAUGUAUAUAUAUUAGAACAAAUAACUUCGUCAUUAGAUGACUUCACAAAUUUGCAAUACAAUUAUUACAUCUAUAUAGUAGAUAUUAAAUAACAAUACAUUUUAUUCAUCAAA
rnacentral:lncRNA from 1 species